rfam:Triticum aestivum genome assembly, contig: Triticum_aestivum_CS42_TGACv1_scaffold_195444_3AL
CAUCUCUUCCUUCCGUUUCAAAUUACUUGUCUUAGAUUUGUCUAGAUACGGAGGUAUCUAGCACUAAAAUGAGUCUAGAUACAUUCGUAUCUAGACAAAUCCAAGACAAGUAAUUCGGAACGGAGGUAGUAGGAU